rnacentral:tRNA from 1 species
GGAGAGGUGGCAGAGUGGUUGAAUGCGGCGGUCUCGAAAACCGUUAUGCCCGCAAGGGCAUCGGGGGUUCGAAUCCCCCCCUCUCCG